UACAGAGGGGGCAAGCGUUGUUCGGAAUUACUGGGCGUAAAGCGCGCGUAGGCGGCUUUGCAAGUCGGGUGUGAAAUCCCCAGGCUUAACCUGGGAACUGCAUUCGAGACUGCAUUGCUAGAGUAUGGGAGAGGGGGAUGGAAUUCCGCGUGUAGCAGUGAAAUGCGUAGAUAUGCGGGGGGAACACCGAUGCGAAGGCAAUCCCCUGGGCCUGCACUGACGCUCAUGCACGAAAGCGUGGGGAGCAAACAGG
rnacentral:rRNA from 1 species